GUGCUCAAUUUGGCUGCACAUACACUAAAAUUGGAACAUACAGAGAAGAUUAGCAUGGUCCCUGCACAAGGAUGAUGUACAAAUUAGUGAAUUGUUCCAUAUUUUU